rnacentral:rRNA from 1 species
GGUUUGGGAGGGGUUUACGAACUCCGCAUGGUGAAGGAAAGUGCCAAGAAAAGCUGGUAAUGUGAUGAAAGCAUCAUACCCGUACCCGAAACCGACACAGGUAGGGAGGUUGAGAAUACCAAGGGGCGCGAGAUAACUCUCUCUAAGGAACUCGGCAAAAUGGCCCCGUAACUUCGGAAGAAGGGGUGCCCACGAGAGUGGGUCGCAGUGAAGAGAUCCAGGCGACUGUUUACCAAAAACACAGGUCUCCGCUAACUCGAAAGAGGACGUAUGGGGGCUGACGCCUGCCCAGUGCCGGAAGGUUAAGGAAGUUGGUCAGGGGUUCGCCCUGAAGCUGACGACCGAAGCCCCGGUGAACGGCGGCCGUAACUAUAACGGUCCUAAGGUAGCGAAAUUCCUUGUCGGGUAAGUUCCGACCCGCACGAAAGGCGUAACGAUCUGGAUGGUGUCUCAGAGAGAGACUCGGCGAAAUAGGAAUGUCUGUGAAGAUACGGACUGCCUGCACCUGGACAGAAAGACCCUAUGAAGCUUUACUGUAGCCUGGAAUUGUGUUCGGGCUUGGCUUGCGCAGGAUAGGUGGGAAGCACAGAAGUACCCCUUGUGGGGGGUAUGGAGCUAACGGUGAGAUACCACUCUGGCGAAGCUAGAAUUCUAACCUAGCCCCCUCAGCGGGUGUAGGAACAGUUUCAGGUGGGCAGUUUGACUGGGGCGGUCGCCUCCUAAAAGGUAACGGAGGCGCGCAAAGGUUCUCUCAGCACGCUUGGAAACCGUGCGGCGAGUGUAAAGGCAUAAAGAGAGCUUGACUGCAAGAGUGACAACUCAAGCAGGGACGAAAGUCGGCCUUAGUGAUCCGACGGCACAGAAUGGAAUGGCCGUCGCUCAACGGAUAAAAGUUACUCUAGGGAUAACAGGCUGAUCUCCCCCAAGAGUCCACAUCGACGGGGAGGUUUGGCACCUCGAUGUCGGCUCAUCGCAACCUGGGGCGGAAGUACGUCCCAAGGGUUGGGCUGUUCGCCCAUUAAAGCGGUACGUGAGCUGGGUUCAGAGCGUCGUGAGACAGUUCGGUCCAUAUCCGGUGCAGGCGUAAGAGCAUUGAGAGGAGCCUUCCUUAGUACGAGAGGACCGGGAAGGACGCACCGCUGGUGUACCAGUUAUUCCACCAGGAGUAGACGCUGGGUAGCUAGUGCGGAGCGGAUAACCGCUGAAAGCAUCUAAGUGGGAAGCCCACCUCAAGAUGAGUGCUCUCACUACUUAAGUAGGUAAGGUCACGGGCAGAACACCCGUUUAUAGGCUCUAAGUGGAAGUACAGCAAUGUAUGUAGCUGAGGAGUCCUAACAGACCGAGGGCUUGA